rnacentral:lncRNA from 1 species
CCCCAGUGUACAUGAUUAUUAAAGUGCAACCUGCAGCCCUCUCUGCUGUCUGGGGUGGUGGGUCAGGGCCCUGUCCUGGUCAGCAUCUGCACCACACCCAGCUCCGUCUGCCGGGCAGAGGGGUGCAGUGACUUGCCCAAGUACCCUGAACAAUAUUUAGCACAUAACAGGCACUCAAUAAACACAUGAUUUGAUUAGCCCCCC